AAGUCGUAACAAGGUCUCCGUUGGUGAACCUGCGGAAGGAUCAUUAACACGUAUCCACGUAUCAACCAACUGUGCACUUGUUUUCAACUCUCCCUGCUCGGUACAUGAAUUGAAGAGAAUUUAGUAAUGUUGAGGAGUCUCUCGGGACUCAGCUAUCUUCUCUAACUUGACUUCGGUCAGACAAUUGUAGUACUGCGGUCAGGCAACCUUCUGCUUACAACCUUCUCUCAUCUGAAGGGAGUAGUGGAAUUAAACACACAUUUCACCCUAUUUUUGCUAGUUGACUUUUAUAUGUUGUCUUAUUCGAUACUUCGGUAUUGCGUAAUUCACACGUUUAUUAUUUGAACGUUAAAUUUACAACUCUUAGCAAUGGAUAUCUUGGUUCUC
rnacentral:misc_RNA from 1 species